rnacentral:misc_RNA from 1 species
UCUUUUCCUUUUCAACCUCUGCAAGAGCAAUGUCUCUGUCAAGUGAUCCCCCAGAAAUCUUCUUUGGAGCCGAUUCGUGAGUCUUAUCGACUACAGCGAGAGCUUUGGAUUCAUCAAGCUUCUCUUCAGGUGAUGGAACAAUAGCUUUCUCCUGUGCCGCAUCUUGCUUGAAUUCCGCCGGUGCCGGUGCUGGAGUUGGUGUCACCGGCGAUUCGGUUUCUAGCUUCUUCGCUUCCUGUUCUGCCA